GAUGAACGCUCGCGAUAGGCUUAACACAUGCAAGUCGAGGGGCAGCACAAGGUAGCUUGCUAUCUGGGUGGCGACCGGCGCACGGGUGCGUAACGCGUAUGCAACUUGCCCUAUACAGGAGGAUAACCCGUCGAAAGACGGACUAAUACUGCGUAUGCUCACAACUUGGCAUCAAGUGGUGAGGAAAGAAAUUCGGUAUAGGAUAGGCAUGCGUCCCAUUAGCUUGUUGGUGAGGUAACGGCUCACCAAGGCAACGAUGGGUAGGGGAACUGAGAGGUUUAUCCCCCACACUGGUACUGAGACACGGACCAGACUCCUACGGGAGGCAGCAGUGAGGAAUAUUGGUCAAGGGGCGCGAGCCUGAACCAGCCAAGUCGCGUGAAGGAUGACUGUCCUAUGGAUGGUAAACUUCUUUUAUACGGGAAUAACAAGAGUCACGUGUGACUCCCUGCAUGUACCGUAUGAAUAAGCAUCGGCUAACUCCGUG
rnacentral:rRNA from 1 species